ensembl:snoRNA SNORA70 Small nucleolar RNA SNORA70
CUGCAGCCAAUUAAGCCCACCAUGUUCUUUUCCCCUUGGGAGCUCAGUGUGCAAUGGCUGCAAAUGUCAGCUUCCUCAGUAGUAUAAGCAGCCUGUUGCCCAAAUGGGUUGGCCUAAGGGACCCUGGAGACAGCC